GCUCCAUUUUGAGGAUCGAGACGUAGGCGGACGGCUUGCGCUCGGGUCUUUUUUAAUAGAAGUACCUUUUUAAAGGUUGAAUGCAUCGCUUUUAUUAAACCGACGAAGACAUGAAGUUAUCCAGUGCUCUGUUAUUGUUGACUUCAGCCGUCCUGGGAGUCAGACCCUCAUCUGCUCAAGGAGAACCUAAAUAUUUUGAAGUGGGAACAACGCUCACCUUGGAGCCAGACGUUCCCACUGUUAAAAAACCAAUCGACAGCAUCAGGUGGAAGUACGGCACCGCCUUGGUGGUGGAUUGGGAUCCGACCACCGGCCAUACAUACUAUGGGUCAUUCAAGGAACGCACAACGUUGGAUCCACAAACCCUGCGGUUGGUCAUCAAUCGUUUGACCUUGGCUGAUAGCGAACAGUUCUCCGUGGAGACGAAUCUUGGAACAGUCGGGACUCAUGAUGUUAAAGUCAUCAAUCCCCCUCCGAAGCCCAGUGUAAUCAAUACGACGAACUGUGAUGUCACUUGUGCUCUGAAGUGUACCGCGGACACCAAGGAUCUGGGGCCGGUCACCUACGAAUGGAAGAUAGACAAAUGUAAGACAGACCAAUGUGAGAAAGAAGAAUUAGAAGUGGGGCCGUGGACCAAGGGGGAAGAGCUGAAGGGUACGACUGGGUCUACAACCUGUGAGCAGUUCUCCUGCAGGCUGAUCACCCGUCUGAGUACCGGUGAAGCCAGCGAUCUCCUGCGCAACGCAGGCUGUAAACCAGGUCCUCCUCUAACACCUGGGGUGAUUGCAGGUCCUCUAUCACCUGGGGUGAUUGCAGUGAUCGUCAUCAUAGUCCUGCUUGUUGCUGCAUGUGCAGCGCUAAUCGCUGUGGUCUUAAUGUGUCCAGAGCUCUGGUUUUCCAUUUGGGUGAAGAAUUUCAUACCGGGGAACAAGCCAGCAGACGGUGCAAGUGGAGGACCAAAUGACAAAAUGGACAGUACAGGAGGUCAUAUUUAGGAGCGCAUAACAAAGAAAAGCAAGUAACAAGAAAAAAGAAGAUCACGACAAAGAAGAUCCACUCAUGACUCCAACACCCGGCCCUGUGGAUUCAGAGUCGGGAUAAUGAAUGAUUGAAAGUAUUCACCCAAAGUUAUUGUUGCUGUCUACUAGGCCGCCUCUGAAUGUCAAAGACCCGGAACACGUUGAUGGGACUUCAGACCACUCCCAUGUUUCUCUCAACAACAUUGAACUCGCUGCACUCACGGAAUCAUCUGUCAAUUAGGGCGCGCUCUCACACACUAGGCCAUCUGUACCGUGCCCAAGUCCGUUUCACACCUGUACCGUGCUCAAGUCGAGAUCGUUUGGCUAGUGGGAGCACGCCAUCCCAAGUACAGUUCCAAUCCGUGGCCUGAGCACACUUCUCAGAGGUGUGCUCAGGCCACGGUACAGAUGCUAAUGAGCCGACGCACGCACACGCACGGCUACGCAACCCGAGCUGGAUGACGUAUAGUCCAUGCGACCCUUCUUGCCCAUUAAAGAAUAAACAUGACGGCAAGCGGUUCACGUUGGUGCGGUAGUGAGGCGUUUUUUAGUUUUUUCGAGUUUUUGUUUCAAAAAUCCCCCGUUCAUCACGGCGUGGGCUUUCUUGGUUCACUGGAGAAGGCGAGGCUGCGCACGGAGUCUAGACCUCUAGAAUAAUUUGCAUAUUCCCUAAUGUUUUAAUUUUUUUAUGAAUGAAGACACCCGCAUGCAAGAAUAAGUUCACGUCUGUGUGUAGGCUACAAACGCGAUUAACUAUUUACAAGUGCAAAAACGCCAUCAUAUUCUUUAUUUUGCUGACCGCUUGUCUUUUAUCCCGACAAAAGCCUCAUAAGGACAGUUCCUCUGCGUCUCUCUCGUAGAUCGUACCACCUUUCAACGUCUUUGUUUAAUACGACUGCAUCACCUUCUCUCACAUGAUCAGCAGCUCGCAGAUUUCACUUUCUCUUCAGUUAAAACUGCUCAUGAUCAUAUCGCUGCGUCACAUUUACAACAGAAUGAAAUCCAAUAACCCGCCAAUGUGUGCAGGUUCCGGGAGGGUAAAUUGGGGUUCUAGCUCAAGCAGGCAAUUUACCUCGGGGCGUGUAAUUGUGCGGACCGUGCCGCGUAAAACGCGUUCAUAAAACGGCAUAUUUGGCAGUGUAAAAACGCUCAGUGAGAGAGGGCUGUAUCUGAGUAGAACGGCUCCAAAUAAGCAACAAAGUCAGUAAAGUGUCAACUGUGUUCUCUGUUCUACUAAGCAACGGACGCUUGGUUAUGACGUAUUACAACGUGAUAACGUAUGUACAAGAGGCAACCGUACUCCGGCCCAGUUGAGAUUGCCUAGUGUGAGCACAGGCCAGCGGCACAGAAGGGGUGGGGGGGGGGGGGGCAAUCGUACUUGAGCACGGUACAGGUGUGAAACGGCCUUGGGCACGGUACAGAUGGCCUUGUUUGAGUGUGCCCUUAGCCACCAAAGAUCAGACACAUGGAUCUCUUCUGCGACACACGCGUUGUCGUAGCUGAAAGUUGACAAUGAUUUCCUGUUUUCCACACAGGUGGAGUGAAUUGGCCUUUGUUAUGAAGUAUUUGGGAUGCUUCUGAUUAUAUUUAUUUAUCUAGCUUUCUUUUUUUUAUAUUGUUUGGUCGUCCUGUCUAAUUUAAACUGCAUCAAGUGGAGCAAGCUAGCUUCCUCAAUCAUACUAAUUUCUUCGAGCUAAUGCUACAGCCUUUAUAGCCUUUGAUCUUUGCUCUUCAGCAGUUCAUGUCAACAAUCAAUGAAAAGUGCCCCACUGCUUGCUCUGCGAAGCCCAGGGGCGGUUCCCAAGAGGAGGCAACAGAGGCAACGCCUCCUCCUGAUUAAAAAAAUAAUGUUUUAUUAUCUACGUGCAAUGUGUGUUUAUCACUGAAUAAUUACAUGAAAAUGUUGAAAAAAUUGCAACGUGUCUUUGCAAUGCAGGAGGCUGGCCGACGUUACUCUGAGUAUGUUACGUCCAGGGCUAGCCAGUAGCCACUGAAGGGAGGCAAAGAGGCCAAAACUCACUUUUGCCUCCUUUGAGAAUAAAAGAUAACCAAUCAUAAUUCAGUUUCACUGCUGCGAGGUAUAUCAUCCAUGCCAUGUUAAACAUAAAGUUAGGUCAGCCGCAUGUACUCCUUGCAAACAAUAAUAAAUCAGCAUUUUUUUUUAUUAACGUUCUCAGCAAAUGAGCCUUCUAGUCAGUUGUCGCCUUGCACGGCUAACGAAGCUGAUAAAAACUUGAGAAGCAUUGCACUCUGCUAACAUACAUAGUUUUUUUUGUGAUUAUCCUCUCUGAUGCACCUCCACACGAUGCGUCACGCAGGUUUAUUUAAAAAAAAGUUGUGUAGCCCUACGCCAGAGCCAUAAAGAGAGAAGAGUUGGGACACUGAUCUCACGUGGUUCAUGUAAACCUGUAUAUUUCCAAAACACGCCGCGCUGCCAUGUUCUUCUAUGGGACUGACCGCAGCGCUCGCUAUAGUGUAUGGUAAUAAUUAUACAUUUAAAACACACAUCUGCACUUUUCUGGAUAUUAUUGCAUAUUUGUAAAUGUCAAGUUUUACAUUUGGAGUGGUAGGGUGACAACUGAAAGCUACUUUGAUAUGAUACGUUUUUAAGUUUGAGGGAAAGCUUCACGUUCGUGUUAGCAUGGGUAGCACUACUGACUUUAGUGGCUGAACCUUAACUUUUGCCUUGCUACAUCUGUUCUGAAAUCAAAGACGAUUCAAGAUGUUAUUUUUUCCGCAACUGGACUACUGGAUUUCCUUGAUUUUGCUUGUAAUUCUGAUUCACUUACCCGUGGCCAGAGAGUGAUUGAGAAAGCAGAGUAGCAACAGUCCAUUAAGCAUUUAGUUUCCAGGCAACUUCUUCUGAUGAGGCAGGAGCUUACCACACAACCAUGAUACUUUUAAGACUAAGCCAUACACAAAGUAUCAAAUAUAUUAAAGAAUAAAAAAUCAUUAUGCUUGGAUAAAUUAAAUAGUAUUUUUUUUUAUUAAACAAUGAGUGAGACAACAAGAAUGUGUGUGUGUAUUCAACUGUAAAAACAAGAACAAAG